rnacentral:lncRNA from 1 species
GACAGGAAGAGUUCUUAGAACUUGUGUUCUAGAACCCAAAAGCCACCAAAUUCAAUAAUUUCCCAACAACUCAUGAAAGCUACUGGCUGCCUAUGUCCUCUAUUUCCUGUGUCUGCCGGACUACAGCUCAGUCAUUUGGAAUUUCAGUUUCUCUAAAUGAAUAUGUUUCCUGGAUUCCUUCUUCAUUUCCUCUUAGGGGCACUGGUGAACCACAUUUGGAGUCUCACUUGAGCUUGGGUGUGGCUGUGUGACUGUUGCCACAAACGGGAUGUGAGUGGAAAUGCUGUGGGCACCUUCCAGACAUGGCCACAAAUACCAUCCUGUGCCUGACCAUGUGGACUCCUCCCUUUCCAGACUUUGACACAGACACAAGGUCCCUGACUGGAAGGCAGGCGUGGUGGCUCAGGACCUCACAGACCUCCUAGACCUGUGCUCUUCUGGUUGUUUUGUGUCAUCUGCAAGGUGGAUUUUGAAGGUUUUUGGCAUGAGGUAUGUGAGAGAGGCACUGUCACCAACCACUUGCCAUCCUAGUGCUGAGUCACAAGGUGAAAGCAAGAAGAAAGAAGAAAAAGUGAAGCCUGUGCUACAGCCAACAGAGGAGCC